AUAAAGCCAUAGGAACUGACAUUUUCAACUGAAUUUUAAUAUUUUCAUAUCAAAAUAGAUCUUUAUUAGUUGAAAGACCUUCAAUUGUUCUUUGAACAAUUGGUUUAUUAUUAUUAUUAUUUUUUUUUUUCUUCCGCCAACUUUUUGUUCCUUCACUGUUUUUUUGUUUCGCAAGAUGUCGCUAAGAUAUAUGGUAUAUGAUAUCGAACAGUUAAUACGCUUCUGAAACUGACACCGCGUAACAAAAAUCUUUACCUCGUAAGAGUUAUCUCCCCGAACACUGUUUUUCUUGUUAUCUCUAAGGCUUCGCAACCGUAUAAGAAACCGACAAAUUUAUUUUUCCAAAUUGCUCGUUAUAUCCUCAGGAUGUUCUGCUUAUUUUGACCGAAGCUAUCCGGAGACUCCAUAUGAGCGUUAUCCCCCCUUUUGUAUAUGAUAUAGGUGAUAUGCAUUUCUAACUGGUAAACCAUAAGUGAUAGAGACCCAGGGUCUUUUGAUUUAAGAUCCUUGGUCCAAAAAAAGGGAAAUUAGGUCAAGGUCAAAGGUCAAGGUCAAAUUCUAAAUUUUGAUUUUGGCUUAUUUUCACUUAUUUUCAUUAACUUUAUAAGAUUUCGACAAAUUAUUUUUACUAAAUUGUUGGUUGCGAGAUGUCGUAACUUAUAAAUUUUGAUUGGAAGGGUGCGUAGACAAUAAAUGGGAGUUUUUGCCCCUCUUAUAUUUAGAAUUAUGUGUAAAGUGAUAUUACUCAUGAACCAUACAUAAUACUGACCUAGGGUCUUUUGAUUUGGGAUCCUUAGUUUAUGACCUUGAAUUUGAGGCCAAGGUCAUAGGUAAAUUGUACGUUUUAGAUUUUGACCUUUGCUCGAAAUUCAUAUUUUUAUAUCAUAAAGACAUAGCAACUGACAUUUUCAACUGAAUCUUAAUAUUUUCAUUUCAAAAUAGAUCCUUAUUGGUUGAAAGACCUUCAAUUGUUCUUUGAACAAUUGGUUUUUAAUUAUUAUUAUUAUUAUUAUUUUUUUCUUCCGCCAACUUUUUUUUCCUUCACUGUUUUUUUGUUUCGCAAGAUGUCGCUAAGAUAUAUGGUAUAUGAUAUCGAACAGUUAAUACGCUUCUGAAACUGACACCGCGUAACAAAAAACUUUACCUUGUAAGAGUUAUCUCCCCGAACACUGUUUUUCUUGUUAUCUCUAAGGCUUCGCAACCGUAAAAGAAACCGACAAAUUUAUUUUUCCAAAUUGCUCGUUAUAUCCUCAGGAUGUUCUGUUUCAUUUGGACCGAAACUAUCCGGAGACUCCAUAUGAGAGUUAUCCCCCCUUUUAUAUAUGAUAUAAGUGAUUUGCAUUUCUAACUGGUAAACCAUAAGUGAUAGAGACCUAGGGUCUUUUGAUUUAAGAUCCUUGGUCCAAAAAAAUGAAAAGUAGGUCAAGGUCAAAGGUCAAGGUCAAAUUCUAAAUUUUGAUUUUGGCUUAUUUUCACUUAUUUUCAUUAACCUUAUAAGAUAUCGACAAAUUAUUUUUACUGAAUUGUUAGUUGCGACAUGUUGUAACUUAUGAAUUUUGGUUGCAAGGGUGCGUAGACAACAAAUGGGAGUUUCCGCCCCUCUUAUAUUUAGAAUUAUGCGUAAAGUGAUAUUACUCAUGAACCAUACAUAUUAAGGAACUAGUGUCUUUUGAUUCGAGAUGUUUUGUCUAUGACCUUGAAAUUAAGGUCAAGGUCAAAGGUUAAUUUGACGUUCUAGAUUUUGA
rnacentral:lncRNA from 1 species